rnacentral:rRNA from 1 species
GAUGAACGCUGGCGGCGUGCCUAAUACAUGCAAGUCGAGCGAACAGACGAGGAGCUUGCUCCUUUGACGUUAGCGGCGGACGGGUGAGUAACACGUGGGUAACCUACCUAUAAGACUGGUAUAACUUCGGGAAACCGGAUCUAACACCGGAUAAUAUUUCGAACCGCAUGGUUCGAUAGUGAAAGAUGGCUUUGCUAUCACUUAUAGAUGGAUCUGCGCCGUAUUAGCUAGUUGGUAAGGUAACGGCUUACCAAGGCAACGAUACGUAGCCGACCUGAGAGGGUGAUCGGCCACACUGGAACUGAGACACGGUCCAGACUCCUACGGGAGGCAGCAGUAGGGAAUCUGCCGCAAUGGGCGAAAGCCUGACGGAGCAACGCCGCGUGAGUGAUGAAGGUCUUCGGAUCGUAAAACUCUGUUAUUAGGGAAGAACAAACGUGUAAGUAACUGUGCACGUAUUGACGGUACCUAAUCAGAAAGCCACGGCUAACUACGUG